GCGGAAGUGGUGAAAUGGCAUACACGUAGGUCUCAGAAGCCUAUGGCGCAAGCCGUGAGGGUUCAAGUCCCUCCUUCCGCA
rnacentral:tRNA from 1 species